rnacentral:rRNA from 1 species
UAUCUCUGUAGAGUCUGCAUAUCAAUAAGCGGAGGAAAAGAAACUAACUAGGAUUUCCCUCAGUAACGGCGAGUGAAGCGGGAAGAGCUCAAAUUUGAAAUCUUCAAGGUUUUACCUUGACGAAUUGUAGUUUAAAGAAGUGUUUUCUGUUGGUGUUUUGGUAAAAGUUCUUUGGAAUAGGACAUCAUAGAGGGUGAGAAUCCCGUAUUUGACCAUUACUUCCAGCGUUGUGAUACACUUUCAAAGAGUCGGAUUGUUUGGGAAUGCAGUCCAAAAUGGGUGGUAAAUUUCAUCUAAAGCUAAAUAUUGGCGAGAGACCGAUAGCGAACAAGUACCGUGAGGGAAAGAUGAAAAGAACUUUGAAAAGAGAGUUAAACAGUACGUGAAAUUGUCAAAAGGGAAGCGUUUGACACCAGUGUUGUUUUCUCGAAAAUCAAUUAAAAAAGGCUAGGAUUUUGUAUUGUAAUUGACCUUUAUCAGCUUUACUGCUACUCUUUUCUUGUCUUUUUUAAUGCACUUUUCGUUUAACAAGUCAACAUCAAUUUCUUUUGUUGUAAAAGAGUCAUUGGAAGGUGGCUUUCACUUCGGUGAAAGUGUUUAUAGCCUUUGGCUUCUGCAAUCAGGAGAGAUUGAGGUCUGCAGCGUAGAUCCUUCGGGGCUAGAUACGUAGAUGCUAAGUUAUAGUUUUUUAUAGACAACUUGUUGACUAUAAUUAAUCAUGUAGCUUACUCGUUUGCGCUAUUUUACCUACGCUUAGGAUGUUGACGAUCAGCUGAGCGCG